rnacentral:rRNA from 1 species
UCGAACGAUGAACCGCUUUCGGGCGGGGAUUAGUGGCGAACGGGUGAGUAACACGUGGGCAAUCUGCCCUGCACUCUGGGACAAGCCCUGGAAACGGGGUCUAAUACCGGAUAUGACUGUCCAUCGCAUGGUGGAUGGUGUAAAGCUCCGGCGGUGCAGGAUGAGCCCGCGGCCUAUCAGCUUGUUGGUGAGGUAGUGGCUCACCAAGGCGACGACGGGUAGCCGGCCUGAGAGGGCGACCGGCCACACUGGGACUGAGACACGGCCCAGACUCCUACGGGAGGCAGCAGUGGGGAAUAUUGCACAAUGGGCGAAAGCCUGAUGCAGCGACGCCGCGUGAGGGAUGACGGCCUUCGGGUUGUAAACCUCUUUCAGCAGGGAAGAAGCGAAAGUGACGGUACCUGCAGAAGAAGCGCCGGCUAACUACGUGCCAGCAGCCGCGGUAAUACGUAGGGCGCAAGCGUUGUCCGGAAUUAUUGGGCGUAAAGAGCUCGUANGCGGCUUGUCACGUCGGUUGUGAAAGCCCGGGGCUUAACCCCGGGUCUGCAGUCGAUACGGGCAGGCUARAGUUCGGUAGGGGAGAUCGGA